AUUGAACGCUGGCGGAAGGCUAACACAUUGCAAGUCGAGCGGAGCGGCGGCGGGGUGAGAAAUGCUUAGGAUGCUGCCUGGUAGUGGGGGUUAACGUCCGGAAAGGGGCCUUAAUACCGCAUAUUACCAGAUGAGCCUAGGCGGGAUUAGCUUGUUGGUGGGGUAAAGGCCUACCAAGGCGACGAUCCGUAACUGGUCUGAGAGGAUGAUCAGUCACACUGGAACUGAGACACGGUCCAGACUCCUACGGGAGGCAGCAGUGGGGAAUAUUGGACAAUGGGCGAAAGCCUGAUCCAGCCAUGCCGCGUGUGUGAAGAAGGUCUUCGGAUUGUAAAGCACUUUAAGUUGGGAGGCGUUACCAACAGAAUAAGCACCGGCUAACUUCGUGCCAGCAGCCGCGGUAAUUC
rnacentral:rRNA from 1 species